rnacentral:miRNA from 1 species
CUUGUCAAAAAUGCAUGUAGCUGGACUUGGCUCAGAACUGGACUAAACUUGGGUUUUUGGCCUGUGCAGCCCAGGAAUCUGCAUUUUUA